UGGCCACUCCGUGUACGGUAAAUGGUGUCAAAUGUAGCAGCGCUGCAGCACUAAGAAUUACGGUAAGUAUUUACGACACAGGUUGCUAGGCGCCAACUGCAUGUCGACGGUGUUUGGAUCAACUCUGAACUGCAGGGACUCACUUGUCGAACCAGCUACCAAAGACUACAAAAUAAACAACUAAUGGCCCAUGUGAUCAAAAGUAACUCAGCUCAUGUGAGCAGAAAUGCUCAUCUUGGCACUCAGCGUCUUGGAUCUCAAUCCCUAACUCAUACAGGAUCUCAAGAGUUGCAGUUUGAUGACAGAGGGAUGCUUCUUCCGCACUGCAUCCUGGGAGGUUUGGAUGACUUUAGGAAGUAUCUGAUCACAAGAGGAGAGACAGAGCUGGCGAAGCAAAUACCAACUUCCCAUAGAGACCCUCCAUCCCAGGUGCUUGGGAAGCAACCUUCUGAGAUGGCCCAGAACAAGCGAACCAUUCCUUUUGGUCAAAGAGACUUGAAGGCAAAUGCUCUGCAAAAUUGGGAUGCAUAUAUAAGACUCAAAAGACGACAGCAGAACGUCUUAUCUGGCCAGCUCCAAAGGCCUGUGGAGAACUUACUGAUGAACCGAGAUUACGGUUUCAAAGAAAUCCAGAAGCAGAGAGAACUUCUAAGACAUGUCAUGCCAACCAUCCAGUCAGGAUAUGGGUACCAUGUGGGAAGUGAGUUUUGGAGUCUCCCACAGAGCUAUGGAAAUGAACUAAGCGGCAUCAGAGCCACACUUAACCUGACGGAGCAAGGCAAACCAAAACUUGUCACACUGAUCGGACAACCACAGAGCAUACUCCAGGAAUCAGGAAUCACUUGUGCUGAGAAGCUGCGUCCAGUCUCUCGGAUUUGGGACCCAAAUACGAACAUGCUUCGCCAUCGUAACUCAAUUAAAAAGGUUGUAGGAGGCAUGGACAUCAACAGGACGGACCUCAGCAAGCUGGAGGUGAUUGGUUCGAGCAAACCAGUUGCCAAAGAGCGCCACAGCCGCUUGUUGAAGGAGGAGGCGGGCGAGAACAAGGAGAGCUGCAAGAUUAACAACGAAAAUGUUGAUGUGAUGACACUUUACGAUGAUCGUCAGUCUCACAGUUUGCUCAUUCCUGCCUUGAUGUUUGCUGGUCAGCUUGCCUGCUGGGCUGGAAACUCUCCUAGUCGGCAGGGAGAGGUAAGCAUCAGCGCGACCGUAACGUUUGAGGCGGCUGUCGGCGAGCGAGUCUUGUCUUACCUUCAGAUACACAACGUGGGCAGCACUGCCAUCCUCUUCAGCUGGCAGAAUCUUCCCCUUCAACCGAAAUUCUCCAACCUACAGUCACAUUCCGACAACCCGCACUUCUACUUCAACACCACCUCUGGUGUCAUCUAUCCAGGUGGCACCCAGCUUGUGGAGUUUAUAUUUAAGUCCGAGAGAAUCGGCAUUGUAACUGAACAGUGGCAGCUCAGCACCCACCCUUUACUGCUGCAAGGAGCCUCCAUUCAGGUCACACUGAAGGGGGUGUCGCUCUACCAGGAUGCAACUGAAAAACAGAGGCAAGUCCUACAGACAAAGUUGGAACAGAGAGUAAGACAGGAGAUGUGCCAGAUGAUAAUGUACGAUGUGCUGCGGGGAAUCCGGAGUCCAGAGAGAUCCAUCUCUCCUGCAGAGCCAUACAAGUUGCAGUACCUUGAUCAGACAGAGGAGGACCUAAAGAAGCUUUUGCAAGAAAUGAAUCCAGAUCGUGUUUGGAAGCUCUCUGGAACACCUGGACAGAUAACCACAGAGAACCAGACCACACACAUGCAGAAGAGAUGUCAGAGUGAUGGGGCGCGCAACCGUUGACUGCGCCCCUGAGCUGAGACUGGGGAUGUUCGGUGCCUUGCUCACGGGCACCUCAACAGUAGUCAGAUGAUCCUCUGAUGGAUGACCAAAUGGACAGCCAGCGUGUUUCCAGGGAUAAGUUCAAUGAUGGAGAUGAGCAAGACACUCACUGUUAUGACACAAUAGAAACAGACGGCUGAACAUACUGUAUAUUUAAUGGCCAUUAGGUACAUUACAUCUUUCUUUUCUAAGAAAAGAACCUAAUUCAAUUUAGAAUGUUAAUAAACAAUGAUCACGUGAUUGACAACUGAAGGGAUAUUUAUUUACCAAUAUAUUGAUUGUUGUUGCAAUUUGCACUGGUUUACAACUUGCUCAGUGGAAACUGCGAUAUUUUCGUGGUGAUAGCACAAUUUUAUUGGAUUGUAUAACUCGGUGGCUCUCAAACUUUUUUCACGAAGUACCACCUCAGAAAAACUUGGCUCUUCAACAGGGUAUCCAACGAGUCUAAAAAAGUCUUAAAUCCAAUAAUUUGAAUUUAAGGCCUUAAAAUGUUUAAAAUUCUCCUAAAAUCUCAUAAAAGGUCUUAAAUACAAUUUUGAAAGGUCUUAAAAAAUAUAUUUUGACGUUACUUUUAUUUGAAACAUGCAUAAACUUCAGUCUCGCUUUGAAAUGUUUCGAUUUUUGAGGACUCUAUAACGUAACUACACAGCGGAACUAACUGUGUUAUAGUUUGGCAAUUGUUUUAUUCUGACUUCCAAACAAAUCUUGGUUCGCAACAGAGAGGUGUCAGGUUCAAACACUGAUGACAUCUAUUAAACAGACAAGAAGCAAGGAAUCAUGCAGAGACAGAGUUAUAUUUGGCUCAAAUGAGGAGAGAUGUUUUUUUGGCUGUACUCUAGUUACAGAUCCAAACUACGCUCUAAAGUCCAGCCCACAUGCUUCCUGUAUUUAUCUGCGAGGUCCCUGGUUACAUCACUGAAGCUGCCGCUGAAGGAAGGGAGUAAUCUCAACAGCCCCAGUUAGACACAAUAUAUGACUAUUAAUGAAAUGCAAUUGUGCUGACACUCGUGAUAUCGCCCUGUCUCUACUUUGUCUGCGUCACGGUACUCGAUGUUUGGCCUUGGCAGUCAGCAGGCCGAUUCUGGAAACAAACACUGAUGCGAGACGACUGGCUUUGCACAGAUAGAAAAAGUACAACUUCAGCACAAUUGAUAAUAACUAUAGCAACGGCCCUUAAGCAUAAAAGUUGUGCGAUAAUAUAUACAUGAUUAUUCUAACAAGAGGUUUCUGGUGUUUGUAGUUAGGUUAAGCGUUUUGUAU